AACCGCACUGUUGUGACCAAUGUGGGAGAAGUUUCAUUUUUUCAGGUGACUUAAAAAGGCACCAUCGUGUUCACACUGGAGAAAAACCGCACUGCUGUGAACAAUGUGGGAAAGCCUUCACUACAUCAGGUCAACUAGAUGUCCAUCGACGUGUUCACACUGGGGAGAAGCCGUACUGGUGUGACCAAUGUGGGAAAUUUUUCACUAGAUCAGAUGAGCUAAAAUGCCAUCAACGUGUUCACACAGGGGAGAAACCGUACUGCUGUGACCAAUGUAGGAAAGAUUUCACUACGUCAAGUGAUAUAGUAAAGCACAGACGUGUUCACACUGGAGAGAAACCGUACUCGUGCGACCAAUGCGGGAAAGCUUUUUCACAGCGUUGUCACCUUAAAGCCCACAAAUGCAUUAACUCCGCUUCGUUUUGAAAAAAAUUUCACAACAAUUAAAUAAUACUCACAAAUGGCAGGUUGAUGAUUUAGAUGAAGAAAGUUAGUUGGUAAAGAUGGCCGGCCUCACAUGCUCCUCCCACGGGUUGGCACAUGCUCCCCCCCGCCGCCACUUGGGGGGCUCCUCAACUUUGAAAACUUCCAAGAACAUUUUUGUUCCGCCAUCACUUUUCGUAAGACUGUCAAUAUUUGCAAUCUACACAGUUGAUUUCUCACCUCGAAACUUCUCAGAAGUAGAUUUAGUGCAGAAAUAACGUGUGAAAUGUGAAACUUUCUGUUGCUGGCCCUCUGUCCGGCGUGCGCAAUGAUGACGCAGUGAAUAGUGACGAUUCUCUCGGACCAAUCAGCAGUCUGCCGUGUUUUUACGUCACGUUAGUAUCACCUCAGCUCGCAUGGAACCUCGACAGAGGUGAUACGAAAAAAGGUACCAACAGGUACAACUUUUCCCCGAUGGAAACCCAAAAACAGCAAGGACUGUCAAGUGAAGUCGGCCGCUACCAUUCAGUGGAAAAGGGGCUUUACACACUAACCGCACCCCCCCCAGAAAUUCAAGAAAUUAUUGUGUUUUGUAAGGACCUGAGCACAAAACAUGCAAGGACUCUAUUGAAACUGAAGGAUUUCUUCUUUUUUUUGUAGGCAGAGACGAAACUUUGCACACAUGUGAGGCGGGAAAGAAAAAUUAUGUAUUUUAUGGGCGUGUAAAAUGGCUCGCUAGCGCCCCCUAAUGAGCGUACGAAAUAUCUGUGGUACAUGUCUAGACAUACAAGAAAAGCCUCCUAGAGCAAUGCCUGACACCCAACUGGAAGUCGGCCAUUUUGGAUUUAAUGGCCUAGAGAACUAGUAAAAUCGACUUCAAAUUUACCCUGUGCAGUUUAAGCCCAUUUCUGAUUAAAAGUUGGACUAACUAGUGCUGCACGUUUUUGGAGAAAAUGUCAUAUUGGAAUUAUUGUGGUCAAUAUUGUAAUUCAUGAUUCAAGGAAAAAAAAAAUCUUUAAUAUUCUUGUAAGUAAAUAUUUCGGGCACUAUUCAACCAGCGCUACAAUGGAAUAUUAGCUCACCGUCCAGUAGUCUGCCAGGUUUUUUUCCUCAAGAAAUUGCUUGGUAAAUAAAAUAUUAAACAAUUUUCAGUUUAUUAUCACACAAAGAAUCAGCCAAUAUUCUGUAUAUAACUGUGAAGUUUGAACCACAGAAUGUUUUUAAACACAUUUUCCUCCUUGAGUACUAUUUUUAUUUUUUUAUUCUUUAUUUUUUUUAUCUGUAUUCACUGUUUUUAUUUGAUUUUGUUUAGACAUUAUUGGGUCAAUAUACGUCACUGAUACAUUUUACAUGCUGGAGUUUGUUUCCUGAUGUAUUUGUUAGAUGUGUCCAGUUGUGUUUUUGGGGUUGUGGCUUUGAUGAGUCUUUACUGUGUAUCUCUGAAGUGGUGGAGGUUUCCAAGAUUUCAUGUGGACCUUUUCUCUCAAAUAGCUUCUCUCUUGCAAAUAUCAAUAGAAGUGAUUACCAGAGAGACCAAAUCUAUUAGCUGUAUCUUUAGUCCACUUCUUCUUCAUAAUACGUUAGGUAAAAUCUUGUGGGGCCCUCACCUUCCCAUGGCUUGAAAGCAUGAUCAAUCCUGUUUGGAGUAAAAUCUGGGUCCCAUGAUGUUUCUCUUAAACAGGUCAUUUCUUGUUCCUUUGGUUACUUUACAUUUUCUUCUCCAGAUUUUAAAUGUGUUAAAUGUAUAUAGAGUAGUUGUGUAUUUUGAUCUGUCAUUUCCUGUUGCUGAAUGUGGUUUUGAAUCUGUUUGUUCAGACUGAAAGCAAAGCCAUUUCUAGUCAAAGCAAAGAGCCGCAGAUUUGUUAAAGACGGCGCCAGUUGAGGUGAAGACAUUACUGCUAAAAAGAAAUUUUUCAGCUAAAAUGAAAAAUCAGCUUUAUCUUUGAUGGAUGAACAGAGAGACAAGAAAAACUGGAGGAAAGAGACUAAAGAUGUUUCUGCUGAGUUCUGAGAUCAACGUCUGAAGGACUCGGUACGCUUCAAACUAACUAGAUCACAUGACGUCUGUUUAUACCUGCUCCAAAUGUCAACACUGAAGACAAAAAAACCCUAAAAACACAAAGUCCACAUGUUUCUGAGGCCUGGACCAGGUCCACUGGAGGCCUCUGGGUUUAACUGCUGUAGUUUGAUCCAGUGUCCAGUGAGGUGGAAGAGGCGCUGAAUAAACGGGGACUACGAAAACACUACAGAUGACAUUUGUGUUCAGUGUGAACAAACCGUUGUUGUUGUAAAAGUCUGACUUAAUCAAAUAUUAUCGUGUCUUCAUUAUCUGACUCCAUUUUAACAGCUUUUUGCUUUCUGUUCUGUCAGUAAAUGUGUUGCUUUCUGUUUAACUUUGGGGUUGGUGCUGUAAUAAUCUGAGCAGGAGACUCGAGUCCUUUUCAAUGUUCUCAUUAAAUUAGUCGACACAAAGAGAA